ACCCAGUGGGACUGCCCGUGAGGGGUGCUUGUGCAAGGGUGCUUCCUGACCCUGCACACACUUGUCUUUUAUGCCCAGAAACCCCACAAAGCACUCUCCUACCCUCUAUGUGGGGCAAGACUUGGCCCAGUCCCUUUCUGCAAAGUGUCUUUUUGGUGGUGUGUGACAAUUCCAGCCUGUUGCAUUGCCUGGAAAGGGAGCACUGCCAAGGACGCAGCACCAUCAGGGGUGUUUGCAGGGAGAUGGAACGGGAUGGGUUGGGAUGGGACGGAAUGGGGAGAACUCUAUUCCCUCCCCAUAGAUCCCUCCCUAAGAGGAAGAUCUGAAAAUUGGGGCAGCCAGCCCUGCCUCCUGUCCCUGCUGACGGGUGUGAUGGCAGAUAUCACCUCCUCCACCUCACACCACAGCAGCACCCUGAGCAGUGUCACAGGGAGUCACAAUCCCUCCCCUGAACCCCGCUGUCCCACAGCACCAUCUGUGGGAGGGUCACCCCUGUCCCUGGACACUGUGCCUGUGCUGGGAGCACUGAGCCCGAGUUCAUGGUGGGGUCACCUGACUCACUCCAUCAGCUGAUGUCGGGAGCUGUAACCACCACCCUCCAUCGUCUGUUUUUAUUAUAUGUGGGACCUUUUUAUAUGUUUUAUUACAUAUGUGACCCUUGUACUAGCUGGGAGCGGUGUGUUGACUUUUCUUACAUACCCAUCUUGAUGGGCAUGGCCAAGGUGGUGCCGGGUUCACUGCUCAGCUGUGUCACCUCUGCCCGCCACACCCCUCCUCACCGGGGAGGGAUCUGGUAUUUAACAGGUGCCCGACAGCCCGGUUAGAGCCGUGCCAAGGACGGUGAUCAAGAGUGCUGCCAGCAUCGCCUCCUCUGGGAGCUUUUGGGCAGGUUUGCUCACAGACCACUGAAGAUGUGUGACCCCCACCACGGCAUGCCACGACCACACCAUCCACUUUGCCCUCCUGGUCCUCCAGGACACCAUGGUC